UUAAAUUCAGUAGCUUGCUACUGUUAGGGGGGUCUAUUAGUCUGUAUAGUAUCACUACUGAUGAGCAGCACGACCCUCUGUCUAUACCCUUGUCUUUUGCGCACUCAUGUUUCCUCGGCGGCUUUAUACCCGCCGGCUGGAUCAAUCUAUAACCUUUUUAAUUUUCAAUCAGCGUCUGAAAAACCUAAUAAUUACAACUUUCAACAACGGAUCUCUUGGUUCUGGCAUCGAUGAAGAACGCAGCGAAAUGCGAUAAGUAGUGUGAAUUGCAGAAUUCAGUGAAUCAUCGAAUCUUUGAACGCACAUUGCGCCCCUUGGUAUUCCAUGGGGCAUGCCUGUUCGAGCGUCAUUUGUACCCUCAAGCUCUGCUUGGUGUUGGGUGUUUGUCCACUAUCGUGGACUCGCCUUAAAGUCAUUGGCAGCCAGUGUUUUGGUAUUGAAGCGCAGCACAUUUUGCGCCUCUAGCCUAGAACACUAGCGUCCAGUAAGCCUUUUUCCACUUUUGACCUCGGAUCAGGUAGGGAUACCCGCUGAACUUAAGCAUAUCAAUAAGCGGAGGAAAAGAAACCAACAGGGAUUGCCCUAGUAACGGCGAGUGAAGCGGCAACAGCUCAAAUUUGAAAUCUGGCUCUUUUAGAGUCCGAGUUGUAAUUUGCAGAGGGCGCUUUGGCGUUGGCAGCGGUCCAAGUUCUUUGGAACAGGACGUCACAGAGGGUGAGAAUCCCGUACGUGGUCGCUAGCCUUCGCCGUGUAAAGCCCCUUC
rnacentral:rRNA from 1 species